UAAUGGCAUAUUUCAAAACCGUGAAAAUUAUAAUGGCAUGGAUCCAAUUAACCCUUU
rnacentral:sRNA from 1 species